rnacentral:rRNA from 1 species
AUUGAACGCUGGCGGCAUGCUUUACACAUGCAAGUCGAACGGCAGCGCGGGCUUCGGCUUGGCGGCGUGUGGCGCACGGGUGAGUAAUACAUCGGAACGCGCCCAGUAGGGGGGGAUCGCUCGGCGAAAGCCGGUUUUAUCCCGCAUACGACCUGAGGGUGAAAGCGGGGGAUCCUCGGACCUCGCGCCAUUGGAGCGGCCGAUGGCAGAUUAGCUAGGUGGUGGGGUAAAGGCUUACCAAGGCGUCGAUCUGUAGCUGGUCUGAGAGGACGACCAGCCACACUGGGACUGAGACACGGCCCAGACUCCGACGGGGGGCAGCAGUGGAGAAUUUUGGACGAUGGGCGAAAGCCUGAUCCAGCAAUGCCGCGUGUGUGAUGAAGGCCUUCGGGUUGUAAAGCACUUGUGGCGGGAACGAAAAGGACUGUGCCAAUACCACGGUUCGAUGACGGUACCCGCAGAAUAAGCACCGGCUAACUACGUG